GCAUCGUUCGUCUAGCCCGGUCACGAGGACACCGGCUCGCCAUGUCGGAAACGUCGGUUCAAAUCCGACACGAUGCUCCA
rnacentral:tRNA from 1 species